AAGGCGAGGCCGAAAGGCGUAGUCGAUGGGAAACGGGUUAAUAUUCCCGUACUUGGUGUUACUGCGAAGGGGGGACGGAGAAGGCUAUGUUGGCCGGGCGACGGUUGUCCCGGUUUAAGCGUGUAGGUGUGUGUUCCAGGUAAAUCCGGUUCACUUUAACACUGAGGCGUGACGACGAGGCACUACGGUGCUGAAGCAACAAAUGCCCUGCUUCCAGGAAAAGCCUCUAAGCAUCAGGUAACAUCAAAUCGUACCCCAAACCGACACAGGUGGUCAGGUAGAGAAUACCAAGGCGCUUGAGAGAACUCGGGUGAAGGAACUAGGCAAAAUGGUGCCGUAACUUCGGGAGAAGGCACGCUGACACGUAGGUGAAGUGAUUUACUCAUGGAGCUGAAGUCAGUCGAAGAUACCAGCUGGCUGCAACUGUUUAUUAAAAACACAGCACUGUGCAAACACGAAAGUGGACGUAUACGGUGUGACGCCUGCCCGGUGCCGGAAGGUUAAUUGAUGGGGUCAGCGCAAGCGAAGCUCCUGAUCGAAGCCCCGGUAAACGGCGGCCGUAACUAUAACGGUCCUAAGGUAGCGAAAUUCCUUGUCGGGUAAGUUCCGACCUGCACGAAUGGCGUAAUGAUGGCCAGGCUGUCUCCACCCGAGACUCAGUGAAAUUGAACUCGCUGUGAAGAUGCAGUGUACCCGCGGCAAGACGGAAAGACCCCGUGAACCUUUACUAUAGCUUGACACUGAACAUUGAGCCUUGAUGUGUAGGAUAGGUGGGAGGCUUUGAAGUGUGGACGCCAGUCUGCAUGGAGCCGACCUUGAAAUACCACCCUUUAAUGUUUGAUGUUCUAACGUGGACCCGUUACCCGGGUUGCGGACAGUGUCUGGUGGGUAGUUUGACUGGGGCGGUCUCCUCCUAAAGAGUAACGGAGGAGCACGAAGGUUGGCUAAUCCUGGUCGGACAUCAGGAGGUUAGUGCAAUGGCAUAAGCCAGCUUGACUGCGAGCGUGACGGCGCGAGCAGGUGCGAAAGCAGGUCAUAGUGAUCCGGUGGUUCUGAAUGGAAGGGCCAUCGCUCAACGGAUAAAAGGUACUCCGGGGAUAACAGGCUGAUACCGCCCAAGAGUUCAUAUCGACGGCGGUGUUUGGCACCUCGAUGUCGGCUCAUCACAUCCUGGGGCUGAAGUAGGUCCCAAGGGUAUGGCUGUUCGCCAUUUAAAGUGGUACGCGAGCUGGGUUUAGAACGUCGUGAGACAGUUCGGUCCCUAUCUGCCGUGGGCGCUGGAGAACUGAGGGGGGCUGCUCCUAGUACGAGAGGACCGGAGUGGACGCAUCACUGGUGUUCGGGUUGUCAUGCCAAUGGCACUGCCCGGUAGCUAAAUGCGGAAGAGAUAAGUGCUGAAAGCAUCUAAGCACGAAACUUGCCCCGAGAUGAGUUCUCC
rnacentral:rRNA from 1 species